rnacentral:rRNA from 1 species
UUUUCUUAAGUCUGAUGUGAAAGACCUUCGGCUUAACCGGAGAAAGUGCAUCGGAAACUAGGAUAACUUGAGUGCAGAAGAGGGUAGUGGAACUCCAUGUGUAGCGGUGGAAUGCGUAGAUAUAUGGAAGAACACCAGUGGCGAAGGACGGCUACCUCGGUCUGCAACUGACGCUGAGACUCGAAAGCAUGGGUAGCGAACAGGAUUAGAUACCCUGGUAG